rnacentral:rRNA from 1 species
GGUUAAGCGACUAAGCGUACACGGUGGAUGCCCUGGCAGUCAGAGGCGAUGAAGGACGUGCUAAUCUGCGAUAAGCGCCGGUAAGGUGAUAUGAACCGUUAUAACCGGCGAUUUCCGAAUGGGGAAACCCAGUGUGACUCGUCACACUAUCAUUAACUGAAUCCAUAGGUUAAUGAGGCGAACCGGGGGAACUGAAACAUCUAAGUACCCCGAGGAAAAGAAAUCAACCGAGAUUCCCCAGUAGCGGCGAGCGAACGGGGAGGAGCCCAGAGCCUGAAUCAGCAUGUGUGUUAGUGGAAGCGUCUGGAAAGGCGCGCGAUACAGGGUGACAGCCCCGUACACAAAAGCGCAUGUGCUGUGAGCUCGAUGAGUAGGGCGGGACACGUGGUAUCCUGUCUGAAUAUGGGGGGACCAUCCUCCAAGGCUAAAUACUCCUGACUGACCGAUAGUGAACCAGUACCGUGAGGGAAAGGCGAAAAGAACCCCGGCGAGGGGAGUGAAAAAGAACCUGAAACCGUGUACGUACAAGCAGUGGGAGCACAGGUUUACCUGUGUGACUGCGUACCUUUUGUAUAAUGGGUCAGCGACUUAUAUUCUGUAGCAAGGUUAACCGAAUAGGGGAGCCGGAGGGAAACCGAGUCUUAACCGGGCGUUAAGUUGCAGGGUAUAGACCCGAAACCCGGUGAUCUAGCCAUGGGCAGGUUGAAGGUUGGGUAACACUAACUGGAGGACCGAACCGACUAAUGUUGAAAAAUUAGCGGAUGACCUGUGGCUGGGGGUGAAAGGCCAAUCAAACCGGGAGAUAGCUGGUUCUCCCCGAAAGCUAUUUAGGUAGCGCCUCGUGAAUUCAUCUCCGGGGGUAGAGCACUGUUUCGGCUAGGGGGCCAUCCCGGCUUACCAACCCGAUGCAAACUGCGAAUACCGGAGAAUGUUAUCACGGGAGACACACGGCGGGUGCUAACGUCCGUCGUGAAGAGGGAAACAACCCAGACCGCCAGCUAAGGUCCCAAAGUCAUGGUUAAGUGGGAAACGAUGUGGGAAGGCCCAGACAGCCAGGAUGUUGGCUUAGAAGCAGCCAUCAUUUAAAGAAAGCGUAAUAGCUCACUGGUCGAGUCGGCCUGCGCGGAAGAUGUAACGGGGCUAAACCAUGCACCGAAGCUGCGGCAGCGAACGUAUCACUUAAAGCGAUUCAGCGGGUUACGAUUGACGGAGCGAAGCGACGUCAAAGCGUAUACAAAGUCGAGUCGGUUUAAGGAUACGUUCGUUGGGUAGGGGAGCGUUCUGUAAGCCUGUGAAGGUGUGUCGUGAGGCAUGCUGGAGGUAUCAGAAGUGCGAAUGCUGACAUAAGUAACGAUAAAGCGGGUGAAAAGCCCGCUCGCCGGAAGACCAAGGGUUCCUGUCCAACGUUAAUCGGGGCAGGGUGAGUCGACCCCUAAGGCGAGGCCGAAAGGCGUAGUCGAUGGGAAACGGGUUAAUAUUCCCGUACUUGGUGUUACUGCGAAGGGGGGACGGAGAAGGCUAUGUUGGCCGGGCGACGGUUGUCCCGGUUUAAGCGUGUAGGUGUGUGUUCCAGGUAAAUCCGGUUCACUUUAACACUGAGGCGUGAUGACGAGGCACUACGGUGCUGAAGCAACAAAUGCCCUGCUUCCAGGAAAAGCCUCUAAGCAUCAGGUAACAUCAAAUCGUACCCCAAACCGACACAGGUGGUCAGGUAGAGAAUACCAAGGCGCUUGAGAGAACUCGGGUGAAGGAACUAGGCAAAAUGGUGCCGUAACUUCGGGAGAAGGCACGCUGACAUGUAGGUGAAGUGAUUUACUCAUGGAGCUGAAGUCAGUCGAAGAUACCAGCUGGCUGCAACUGUUUAUUAAAAACACAGCACUGUGCAAACACGAAAGUGGACGUAUACGGUGUGACGCCUGCCCGGUGCCGGAAGGUUAAUUGAUGGGGUCAGCGCAAGCGAAGCUCCUGAUCGAAGCCCCGGUAAACGGCGGCCGUAACUAUAACGGUCCUAAGGUAGCGAAAUUCCUUGUCGGGUAAGUUCCGACCUGCACGAAUGGCGUAAUGAUGGCCAGGCUGUCUCCACCCGAGACUCAGUGAAAUUGAACUCGCUGUGAAGAUGCAGUGUACCCGCGGCAAGACGGAAAGACCCCGUGAACCUUUACUAUAGCUUGACACUGAACAUUGAGCCUUGAUGUGUAGGAUAGGUGGGAGGCUUUGAAGCGUGGACGCCAGUCUGCGUGGAGCCGACCUUGAAAUACCACCCUUUAAUGUUUGAUGUUCUAACGUGGACCCGUAAUCCGGGUUGCGGACAGUGUCUGGUGGGUAGUUUGACUGGGGCGGUCUCCUCCUAAAGAGUAACGGAGGAGCACGAAGGUUGGCUAAUCCUGGUCGGACAUCAGGAGGUUAGUGCAAUGGCAUAAGCCAGCUUGACUGCGAGCGUGACGGCGCGAGCAGGUGCGAAAGCAGGUCAUAGUGAUCCGGUGGUUCUGAAUGGAAGGGCCAUCGCUCAACGGAUAAAAGGUACUCCGGGGAUAACAGGCUGAUACCGCCCAAGAGUUCAUAUCGACGGCGGUGUUUGGCACCUCGAUGUCGGCUCAUCACAUCCUGGGGCUGAAGUAGGUCCCAAGGGUAUGGCUGUUCGCCAUUUAAAGUGGUACGCGAGCUGGGUUUAGAACGUCGUGAGACAGUUCGGUCCCUAUCUGCCGUGGGCGCUGGAGAACUGAGGGGGGCUGCUCCUAGUACGAGAGGACCGGAGUGGACGCAUCACUGGUGUUCGGGUUGUCAUGCCAAUGGCACUGCCCGGUAGCUAAAUGCGGAAGAGAUAAGUGCUGAAAGCAUCUAAGCACGAAACUUGCCCCGAGAUGAGUUCUCCCUGAGACUUAGAGUCUCCUGAAGGAACGUUGAAGACGACGACGUUGAUAGGCCGGGUGUGUAAGCGCAGCGAUGCGUUGAGCUAACCGGUACUAAUGAACCGUGAGGCUUAACCUU